rnacentral:rRNA from 1 species
GAUGAACGCUGGCGGCGUGCUUAACACAUGCAAGUCGAACGAAGCACUUUAUUUGAUUUCCUUCGGGACUGAUUAUUUUGUGACUGAGUGGCGGACGGGUGAGUAACGCGUGGGUAACCUGCCUUGUACAGGGGGAUAACAGUUGGAAACGGCUGCUAAUACCGCAUAAGCGCACAGCAUCGCAUGAUGCAGUGUGAAAAACUCCGGUGGUAUAAGAUGGACCCGCGUUGGAUUAGCUAGUUGGUGAGGUAACGGCCCACCAAGGCGACGAUCCAUAGCCGACCUGAGAGGGUGACCGGCCACAUUGGGACUGAGACACGGCCCAAACUCCUACGGGAGGCAGCAGUGGGGAAUAUUGCACAAUGGGCGAAAGCCUGAUGCAGCGACGCCGCGUGAGCGAAGAAGUAUUUCGGUAUGUAAAGCUCUAUCAGCAGGGAAGAUAAUGACGGUACCUGACUAAGAAGCACCGACUAAAUACGUG